rnacentral:rRNA from 1 species
AACCAGCACCUCAAGUGGUCAGGAGGAUUAUUGGGCCUAAAGCAUCCGUAGCCUGUUCUAUAAGUUUGCGGUUAAAUCUAUACGCUCAACGUAUAGGCUGCCGUAAAUACUGUAGAACUAGGGAGUGGGAGAGGUAGACGGUACUCGAUAGGAAGGGGUAAAAUCCUUUGAUCUAUUGAUGACCACCUGUGGCGAAGGCGGUCUACCAGAACACGUUCGACGGUGAGGGAUGAAAGCUGGGGCGCAAACGGG